CAAAUAGCCCUUAUCAGGGCUACCGAACAUAUCUAUAAAGAGUUGU
rfam:Aedes albopictus isolate Foshan contig6411, whole genome shotgun sequence.